rnacentral:rRNA from 1 species
UACGUAUGGUGCAAGCGUUAUCCGGAUUUACUGGGUGUAAAGGGAGCGCAGGCGGCACGGCAAGCCUGAUGUGAAAGCCCGCGGCCCAACCUCGGGACUGCAUUGGGAACUACCGGGCUGGAGUGCCGGAGAGGUAGGCGGAAUUCCUAGUGUAGCGGUGAAAUGCGUAGAUAUUAGGAGGAACACCAGUGGCGAAGGCGGCCUACUGGACGGUGACUGACGCUGAGGCUCGAAAGCGUGGGGAGCAAACAGG